GAGUUUUGCCAAGGAUAAAUGGAUUCUCUCUUAUAUACACAUUAAAUAAUAAAAAAAAUUAAAAAAUUGAACCUAAUACAAAACUCAUCAGAUAGAUUCAGUACUGCAAAUUUCUACUGGAGUCCUUCUUUUUUCCUCUCAUCGAGCCUCUCUUCUUCCAUCUCAUCCAACCCCUCUUCUUACCUCUCGAGCUCUUGUUCGUUGGUUUCAUCGAGUCCCUCUUCUUCCCUCUCGAGCUCUUAUUUUUCCCUCUCAUUAAGCCAUUGUUCUCCGACCCUUCUUCUCUAGCCUCCAUUAAAGCUCUAACGCCUCUUUCGCGUUACCCUCUCCUCGAACCCUAGCCUCCACCCCAUGCUCUACUACAAGGUUGACGGGACUGGAGACUGCUCCACCAGUCAUGCCUACUUGUUGGCUCUCCCCUUAAACCCUAACUCAUUCUCAGUCUCACGCGGAGACGACUGGAAUGGUAGCGUCGAAGUCUCGUGCUCACUGGCUAAAGUUUUCUCACUCACACUCGCUCACGGUCACUGGUAGAGAAGAAGAAUGUCUCACACUAACCGUUCUUCUCGUUCACGCUCACUCAAAGAGAAGAAGUUUGUCCAUUCUUCUCGCGUUCACUCACCUUGUUGGACAUCAUGCUCACUUGGGAGUGUUAUUCGUUCAAUCGAUAAGUUUUUUCGUUCAAACCUUCUUUGCUCGUUCCCUAAAUACCUAAAUCCUUAAAUCCAUAAAUCCCUCUUUUCUUUGUUGAGAUUGAUGCAUAAUGGUCUGUUGUGGGGUUCACCGAAUAGAUUCCCUUGUUCUUCAAAAUGUAGUUGAUUUGAUGAAUAGAGCUUCCGAAAUGUGAAAGACGGUGAUGGACUUAUUCCUUCCCUUCUUAAUGAUGGAGCAAUGGAUCCAACAAUUUCAAAGCAUUUUUUUAAUGAACUCUGGUAUUAAAAAGGUUUUCUUAAUGAACUCUGGUAUUAAAAAGAUAUAAAUGUCCAUGCUGCAAUUUUUCAGGCUUCACAUUACUCUGUUUGUUUUAUUUGUGUUACGCAUUGCUCUAGCCCAUACUCUAUUGGACAUCUAAUAAUGAACUAGUCAUGGUGUGCUGUUUUGAAUUCAAGAUUUAUGUGAAAAGGAUUUAAGAGGGGUUAGUUAUAUAUUAUAGAUAUCUAAUAAUGAAAAACCUAAUACAUUUUAGAUUCAUUUUCCAAGAUAACGUAUAUGACAACUUUUUUAGUAAAGAGUUAUUUAAGGUCAAAGGCGUUCUUAAUCUAUUAUGAAAAAUGAACUAAAUGUACUAACUUCAGUUCUUUCAAACGAUGGUUUCUCAAUAAGCAUUUGUGAUUAUAUAUUAGUUUAUAAUAUCUAUUUUAUUUGUAAUGGAAGCAUGGGAGAUGCUGGUUUCUCAAGUCAAAUUUGCCUUUCUAUCUGGAUUAGAAAUAACCAUUUUAUUCAUACCAGGUAGAAAUAUUACUUUGAUUUUUUAAAUGAUUGUUUGGUGACAUGUUCCAAGUUCAACUUAAACAUUUCCUGGGUGUUAUAAAUUAGUUCAUUCUCCUCUUGUCUCAAUGGGAAAUGAAACAUUUCCUAAGUCAGCCAUAUAAUACUAACCAGAAGCAGAGUUCUACGAGGCCCAGGCUCGAUGGGAAAGGAAANAUCUCCUGGAGAACGAGAGAAGAUGGUGGAAGAAGCUGCCAAAGCCAAGACUNCUAAGCUUGUCAGAAAAAUUGAACAUAAACUAUUUUUAACAACACUCUGCUUCAAUCAAUGAAUUCAACACAAUCCUUCAAAAAGUUCAAAAAUGUCCAUUUCUUUGUCAACAUAUUUCUCUGGUUGAUGUUGGUGGUGGAACUGGAGCUAUAAUAAACAUGAUAGUCUCAAAAGUAUCCCAAUAUCAAGGGUAUUAAUUUUGAUUUACCCCAUGUCAUCGAAGAUGCCCCAUCAUAUCCAGGUACCCAUUUUUAAGUUGAGGAUGUUGUCCUCAUAUUUAUACUAGUUUUUCGAGCACUGUCACCAAUUAUUACCCGUUAAUUGUAUGCAUUAUGUAUUGAAUUAUAAUGUUUUAGCAAUGGUUUCCUGACAUCAAAUUUCACAUUGCUAUUUUUCUGUAGGAGUUUCCUGACAUCACUACAAGAAAAUUUUUAUAUUUUGUGGUGCUUCCCUAGCUUGCAUUGUGUUCAAUAUUGAUUAACUUGACCCUUGAAGUUGGCCUUGUGUUGCUGCUACCAUAACCCUGAACCUGUUGAGCUUAAUUAGAAGUAUUGGAUGUUGUCAUGUGGGUAAUGAGGGGUUAGUUUGCUUAUGUUUGUGUUAUUUUUCUUCACUGUUUGAAUGUGAAUAGGAAUGUAUGUUUUAUAUUGUAGGUUGGUUGUCUUGGUUGACAAUUAACUGUGAAGUAGGUGGUAUUUUGGUAUGAAUAUCUUAGUUGUAAUUCUCUGCAGUAUGUUUGAGUGCAAUUUAGAUGUGAUUAUGAAGCUAGAUGACUAUAUGAACUUACGAGAUUACUAGUGCAAGUUGGCUGAGAAAACAUCAAUUAAUCAGGGAAGAGAAAACAACAAAGAAGAAAGGAGUUUUCGUGAGAGUUUUGGUGUGCAUCCGUCCGAGAGGCUGAGAAAGCAUGACAAACGUCAGGCUUAAUGCAGCAAGGAAGGGAGGAAACGUAAGAGAAUAAUGGAACUUUGAUACUUUGUAUAAAUAUAUAUUACACUUUUAACUAUAAUUAUGUUAAUUAUUUGAAGUUAUUCUUCUAUAUAUAUAUAUAUAGUUAUUUAUUAU